AGUGGGACAGCUGGGUCAAAUGGUGGUUCCAUUCCCAAUUUUUCAAGUAAUCUCCAUACUGCUUUCCAGAGUGGUUGCACCAAUUUGCAGUCCAACCAGCAAU
rnacentral:pre_miRNA from 1 species